rnacentral:rRNA from 1 species
UACGUAGGGCGCAAGCGUUGUCCGGAAUUAUUGGGCGUAAAGAGCUCGUAGGCGGCUUGUUACGUCGGGCGUGAAAGCCCGGGGCUUAACCCCGGGUCUGCAUUCGAUACGGGCUAGCUAGAGUGUGGUAGGGGAGAUCGGAAUUCCUGGUGUAGCGGUGAAAUGCGCAGAUAUCAGGAGGAACACCGGUGGCGAAGGCGGAUCUCUGGGCCAGUACUGACGCUGAGGAGCGAAAGCGUGGGGAGCGAACAGG